AUUGAACGCUGGCGGCAUGCCUAACACAUGCAAGUCGAACGGCAGCACAGUGCGUAGCAAUACGUAUGGGUGGCGAGUGGCGGACGGGUGAGGAAUGCAUCGGAAUCUACCCAGUAGCGGGGGAUAACCUGGGGAAACUCAGGCUAAUACCGCAUACGACCUAUGGGUGAAAGGCGGGGGACCGUAAGGCCUCGCACUAUUGGAUGAGCCGAUGCCGGAUUAGCUAGUUGGUAGGGUAACGGCCUACCAAGGCGACGAUCCGUAGCUGGUCUGAGAGGACGAUCAGCCACACCGGAACUGAGACACGGUCCGGACUCCUACGGGAGGCAGCAGUGGGGAAUAUUGGACAAUGGGGAAACCCUGAUCCAGCAAUGCCGCGUGUGUGAAGAA
rnacentral:rRNA from 1 species